UACAGAGGUCUCAAGCGUUGUUCGGAUUCAUUGGGCGUAAAGGGUGCGUAGGCGGCGCGGUAAGUCGGGUGUGAAAUCUUGGAGCUUAACUCCGAAACUGCAUUCGAUACUGCCGUGCUUGAGGACUGGAGAGGAGACUGGAAUUUACGGUGUAGCGGUGAAAUGCGUAGAUAUCGUAAGGAAGACCAGUGGCGAAGGCGGGGUCUCUGGACAGUUCCUGACGCUGAGGCAC
rnacentral:rRNA from 1 species